rnacentral:misc_RNA from 1 species
CCAAACUUGGUCAUUUAGAGGAAGUAAAAGUCGUAACAAGGUUUCCGUAGGUGAACCUGCGGAAGGAUCAUUAACAAUUGUCCACUAUAAUGGAUAAUUUUAUCCUUACCCACCUUGUGUGAAUCAUUGACGUGUUUGUUGGCAGGUGUUGUGAGUUAUACAUGCUCGGCCUGCCAAUUUUAUUUUUGUAUAACUUGUCUAAAUGAUACUGUCUGAAAUAUAUUUUUUAUAAUAAAUAAAUACAACUUUCAACAACGGAUCUCUUGGCUCUCGCAUCGAUGAAGAACGCAGC